UGGUUCCGCUUCUCUUUUGUUUUUCCAAACGGUGGGAGGCACUCCCGAGUGGGGGAUAAGUCCGGGGCCACUGGGCGGAAACUCUAUUUGGGAAAGCGAAACCAAGUGGAGCCCUUUGAUGAGGAAUCCAAACGGAGUGCUGCGCAGAUAUGGGACAGACACCAUCGACUCCCCUGUCCAUUAUUGUGGGCCAUUUUAAGGAUGUUAGGGAAAGGGCGCACAGCCUUUCCCUAAAAGUAAAGAAAAAGAAAUUCAUCACCCUGUGCGAGUCUGGCAAGACUUGGUCCAGGAUCCGCCACCUUGGC